rnacentral:ribozyme from 13 species
AUCGAACAGCAAUACUAGAGAAACGACGGAUAGAACUGGAGGAAAGGGUGGAUCCAAAUUCGAUCGGAUUCAUGUCUUGUUCUUGUUUCUUUUUUUUAGAUGUUGCAUUAUCCUUAUCAUAAUUCCAGUUAUUAUA